rnacentral:rRNA from 1 species
UACGUAGGGCGCAAGCGUUGUCCGGAAUUAUUGGGCGUAAAGAGCUCGUAGGCGGCUUGUCACGUCGGAUGUGAAAGCCCGGGGCUUAACCCCGGGUCUGCAUUCGAUACGGGCAGGCUAGAGUGUGGUAGGGGAGAUCGGAAUUCCUGGUGUAGCGGUGAAAUGCGCAGAUAUCAGGAGGAACACCGGUGGCGAAGGCGGAUCUCUGGGCCAUUACUGACGCUGAGGAGCGAAAGUGUGGGGAGCGAACAGG